CCCCUCCCGCACGCCUCCUCUCCUCCCACCCACAUCGCCGCCGCUGCCGCCGCCGCCUUCCUCCUCCCACACCCCCGCCUCCCUCUCCUCUUCCUCUCCCCUUAGCACCGCCCGCACCCGCGCCUCCCUCUCCUCCUCUCGCCCCUAGCGCCGCCAUCACUGCCUCCUUCCCCGCCGCCGCCCGACCUCCUCCCCUUGCGUUCUCCUCAAUCCACCCAGUAGCUCAGGCAGCGGUCUGAUCUGGCGACCCCUUCCUCCAACUCUCGCGGACGUCACCCGGAGUGGAGAGGAGAGGCAGAUCCCGCUGCCACCGGCGACCUCGCUCCCUCCCUCCUCAGAUGGACGGAAGGGGCAACACCGCCUGAAACCCUAGCCCCGCCCCUCACCCACCCAUGGAUGGACGGAUGGGGACGGGGUGAUGACGGCGACAACUUCUUUACUGCCGCGGCGGCGGCGGCCCUCGACACCAAUGAACGCUGGUUCUUCCUCCUCAUCCACGACGCCCAUCUCCGGCCAUGGCGACCUCGGAUCUUCGGCCCUGGUUGCUCAGAUGUUGUUUCUGCUACUGGAGGUGGACGUGGUGAGCUCCAUCCCAUCUUUUUACCCUGCUGAAGCACAUACUGAUUAUGUGGAGUUUUUCGAACUGCCAGCUAUAAAGGUCAGGGAAUAAUAGCACAACAUGGAUUCAUAAACCCACGGUGGGUGGAUGGUGAGCUAUUGGUACUCAAUGGCAAGAAAAAAAAAACAUCUGGCGCUUUUGGUUUGCAUUUGCAGCAGCACUGCUAGAAUUCUACUGAAAUAAAUGUCUAAGCAUCACCAUCAUGUAUAAGUUGUGCAUGCUAAAAUAGUUGUAUUCAAUUUUGGAGACUUUUAGAGUAUAGUGCUGCCGUUUCCAUUUGGAAGACAUCAAUAUAGUGUUUCCAAUUCCAAGAUUAUAUUUCUGGAUCUAAGUAGCGUAUAUUUCUAGCAUCCUUCUGUGCUAAGAAUUUUGGAGAAAUCUAACUUUGAGAGAAAUAUAGUGUUUCCUAUUUGUAAAACUAUAGAGAUUAUAGAAGUAUUGGAUGCCAGAAUAUAGUGUUUCCAAGAUUGCUUUGGCUAAAGCUUAUAGAUUGUUUUCUCUCAAUGUUAGAUUUGUUUAUUGAUGUCGUCCAAGUACUCAUUUGAUGUCACUUCCUGACUUUUGUAGAGUUUUAUAUCUUGGCAAAAUACUUUGUAAAAGAAAUGAUAAGUAAAUAUGAGGUCUCGAAAGUUCUGUGUAUUUUCAGAGCAUGGAAACUAAAUAAACACUUUGAGUCCAUCAUUUUGUGUUUGAAAGCUCUUCAGAUUCCAUUUAUUUGCUACCGUUGGCAUUGGACAUAUUACUCAUGCAGUGAUACAUAUAUGUGAUGAUUUCUGACUUGACUUAUGCUAUCUCCUUGGUCCUCUGCAUGUUCUGGUUGUUGACAAGCAGGCAAUGUGUGCCAUGAUGAGAGCAACCCAAGUGAGCAUGGGAGUUUCCUCUUGGUGAUGAUAGCCGGUCGACGCCACCAUGGCAGUGUUCUUUGGCACUCAGGUCAACAUAGUAGGGUUCUCCUUGUCAUUGAUAGCAUCGGUUAACAUAGCGGCAGGGGUCACGGUCGCCCGAGGAGCACAACCACACGGGGCUGGUCCUGCCGCCGCCAAAGAAGAGCGGAGGAGGUCGAUACAGGGUCGAGGGGCACGGGCGAGGUUCAUGCCGCACGGGGGCACGCGCCUCCAGCGAGAGAAGGCUUCUCCUGUUCCCGUGCCGCCAGGCACCCCUCAUCGCCGCCCUACUUGUCCUCUGGUCGUCGGUGCUCUGUUGGUUGAUGGAUUUUUCUUAUCUGCCAGCAGACCGCACUGGAGGCUGCCGCCAUAUCUGAGGACAUCGUGAUGAGGUUGCCGCUUUGGCCAUAGCAGAGGGGAUCCAGCCGGCACGCCGCGUCUCCCAUAAACAUGCCUAAUUUUAUAUUCAGAGGUAGCAUUGAUCUACUUGCCCCCUUCAAAAGGCCAUAUGUGUUGCUUUGUUUUACUUCUCUUUCAUAUCCAGUUAUUUAGAAAUUCUCUGCUAACCUCCCGGCACUUAAAUAUGAUUAGGUAUAAUGUGAAGCAUUUGCUUGACAGAGGUACCUUCAUGUCAAUGUGAAGCAUUUAUGUUGCUAUAUGUUGCAGGAAUGUAUCCAUGUACUGGGAAACCUGUGAACUCUUUGAUACACCUUUUAUGUGUUGCUUUUGGUCUUGAUAGAGGGAGAUACAUUGACAGGAAGUUCUCACUCGCUAGAAUUGUUUCUAUCAGGGGCAGAAUUAUUGUUGAAACAUGCACUGUGUGAAGAUGAAUAGGAACCUUUCAUAAUUAUUCUCAAACAUGCCACUGUGUCAUCAUUGGCCAAUGCAGGACCUCUUAGAUUAUACAAGUCCCUAUGUUUGUUUGGAUUCAUUAACCAUGGGAUUGGACUUUCAUUCGAUGCCACUAGCUCCUGUGAUGCACUGUGUAAACUACCGUGUGAUCUCCCUCUUCUUUUGUGAUUGCAUCCCCUUUGUCACAUCUAUCCAUCCUUUUGUACUUGAUAUGUACCGUGUAUGAACAAUUGUAUCCUUUAGUUUACCCUGUAUAUGAACAUUGCAUCCUCAAAUGUGUUGUGUUGUCGUUCUGUUGGCUAUGGAGAUGUGUUGUACUACAGUUUUGGUAUCCAUCUAUGAUGUCUUGC